AACGCUAUUAAGGCAAAACUGUCUAAGAUGCUGCGACAGGGGUGUCGUAUUUGUUCUUGUCUAUUCAAUAUCUGAUAUGUUCUCUAUUCGAUGACUCUAUAUUAAAUGGAUUUUUAGAGCUGAAAGAGGUGCUUGCUCCAUCCACUCCACACAUCAACCUGGUAUUACAGUACCUCCAGGAAGGAUGCACCUUCU